rnacentral:lncRNA from 1 species
UGGUGGAAUUAAAAAGGAUAGAACAAGAAGAGAAUAAAGGCGGCUAUAGUGGACUUUGGUGGAAUUAAAAAGGAUAGAACAAGAAGAGAGAAUAGAUUGAAAAAUUAAAAUGCUAAUGUUGUAAAAUAAUAUGAAUGGAACUUAAGAGAACCAAGAAGAAUAGAUUGAAAAAUAAAAAUGCUGGUGUUGUAAAAUAAUACGAAUGGAACUUAAGAGAACCAAAUUG